AUGAGGUUUACCUUUGUUGUUGCAGGUUGGCCGGGUUGUGCACAUGACACCAGGAUCUUGAAUCAUGCAUUAUCACAUUUCUCUUUAUUUCCUGUACCUCCCAAAGGGAAAUAUUAUCUUGUGGACUCUGGAUAUCCAAAUCGAACGGGAUACCUUGCUCCUUUCAAGGGGAGUACAUACCAUCUAUCGGAAUUCCAUCUUCGUCGUGACCGUCCACCUCAAGGGAAGUAUGAGGUGUUCAACUUUCUACAUUCAUCCCUUCAAAAUGUUGUUGAACGUACUUUUGGGGUGCUCAAGCAGAAGUGGCGCAUAUUGAAAGGAGUCCCAAGUUUCUCACCUCGUACACAGAAGCAUAUCAUCAUUGUUUGC
rnacentral:rRNA from 1 species